UUUUAUUUGAGAGUUUGAUCCUGGCUCAGGAUGAACGCUGGCGGCGUGCCUAACACAUGCAAGUUGAGCGAUUUACUUCGGUAAAGAGCGGCGGACGGGUGAGUAACGCGUGGGUAACCUACCCUGUACACACGGAUAACAUACCGAAAGGUAUGCUAAUACGGGAUAAUAUAUUUGAGAGGCAUCUCUUGAAUAUCAAAGGUGAGCCAGUACAGGAUGGACCCGCGUCUGAUUAGCUAGUUGGUAAGGUAACGGCUUACCAAGGCGACGAUCAGUAGCCGACCUGAGAGGGUGAUCGGCCACAUUGGAACUGAGACACGGUCCAAACUCCUACGGGAGGCAGCAGUGGGGAAUAUUGCACAAUGGGCGAAAGCCUGAUGCAGCAACGCCGCGUGAGUGAUGAAGGCCUUCGGGUCGUAAAACUCUGUCCUCAAGGAAGAUAAUGACGGUACUUGAGGAGGAAGCCCCGGCUAACUACGUGCCAGCAGCCGCGGUAAUACGUAGGGGGCUAGCGUUAUCCGGAUUUACUGGGCGUAAAGGGUGCGUAGGCGGUCUUUCAAGUCA
rnacentral:rRNA from 1 species